GUUAGGACAAGACAAGGAGGGGUAUACAGGGCUCUUCAGAGAUAAGAGGUUCUUGCUUGGUGCUUGCCUGCCACGGAAGCAUUGAUGGCAGAAGCUACUGCUAGUGUCCUUAGAGCCCCUGAAGUCUGGCUAGAUCUGAGAAUCCCUGCUUUGGUUGCCUCUGUGUUUAUGUUAUGGUCCAUGUACAUAAGGUCCAUGUCCUGUGUACACAUGCGUGGUCCCUCACUCAAGCAUUUUAGAAUACAGUUCCUCUAAUCAGGAGGAAUUGGGAUGAAAUGAGACCUCUACUUUCUCUUUCUUCUUUUAUUGCCUUUUAGGGUUUUGUUGGUGCACUUCGAACUGAACUUUUUGACUAUCCAGGUAUAAGGUUGUCUACGAUUUGCCCAGGACAUGUACAUUCAAAUAUUUUCCAGAAUUUUAUAACUGGAGAGUUCACUAAGACCAGACUGCCUGAAAUCCCGCUAUUCAUGAUGGAAACAAGCCGUUGUGUGCAGCUAAUCCUUGUCUCCCUGGCCAAUGAUCUGGAGGAAGUCUGGAUAGCUAAUCAGCCUGUCUUGCUUCGGGCAUAUGUGUGGCAGUAUGUGCCAUUCCGGGACUGGAUACUUCAAGGAUGCUAUGGAAAAUAUAUAUCGAAAGCUCUAGGUAUAACAUGGUAUGUGUGACUCACUUGUUUCCAGUAGUUUAUGUGCAUCUUGCAUGCAAAUAUCAAGUCUUCAAAUGCUUUAGGGUCGUUUUUGCUAACUUCCAGACCCAGCUCACAAUAUGAAAAUACAUAAAAAUGGACUGACCCUGGACUCUGACCUCAUAGGUAGCAAUGAAUAUUCUAGUAAGAUCACCAGUG
rnacentral:lncRNA from 1 species